UAGCUUUUGUCUGGUUAAUUGGAGAUAAGAGUCUCACAGACUUUCCUAGUGGGGCUGGCUUUAAGCUCCAGUCUUCAGGUCUUAGUCUCCUGAGUAACUACGAAUACAGGUAUGAACUACAGGUGCCCAACUUGUUCCAUGCUUUUUGUGCUCGGUUAUGGAGAUCAGCCUGUAUCCUACUUUAAGUUACACCAUAUCAUACAGAGCAGAAGUUUUCAGGCUGCACCUUGCCCUGGGUGAUUCCAUUUUAUAAAGCAGCAAUUUGCCCCAUUUUGAGUACAAAUAUUGAGGCAAAAUAGCUUUGCCUCUUGCUUGUGCAAGUAAACAACCACCAUCUGUCCAGCACAAGCUAUGAAACAGACAGAUAAUUUAUUCACACAAAUACAAUAUUACCACUUAUGAACUUAUUAAAUUAGGAACACAUGGGCAUAUCAACCAAAGUGCUUUGGAUAUAGUUUAGUGGUAGAUUGCUUACCUAGCAUGCAAAAGGCUGGAUUCAAUCUCUAAUAGCACAAAAACAACAACAACAACAAAAACACAUACCUGGGCAUAUUUGCUCAAGCUUAUAAUCCUAGCUACUAGGAAGGUAGAGAUGGAGGAUUACAGAACAAAGCCAUUCAGGACAUAAAAGUUUCUGAUGAUUCCAUCCCAAUCAAUGGCUAGAUGAGGUAACAUUGAAACUAUUGACCCAGCUGCCAGAGAAGCAUAAUAGCUAGGCAGAUUGGCACAUGCUUGGCAUUCACAACAACACCAGAAAGCAUAAUUUGGAAGAUCACAGUUCAGGCCAGUCCAGAAAUAAAGUGAGACCUUACCUCAAACUUACCAAUGCAAAAAGAAGCUGAGAGACAUGAUUCACAUGGUAGAGUGCUUGACUAACCAGUGCAAGGCUCUGAAUUCAAUCCCCAAUGCCGUAUCUCCCUCCCCACAAAGCAACACAUAGUGGAAAAACUAGGCCUGAGAUAUUAUCAAAUUUCCCAAAGCAACAAAUGAUGCAAUCCCCUCACCUGGAUCAUAUAAAAGGAGGGGACAUUAAUACUGAGGUAUGACAACAAAACACCCAGUGAUCAGAAUCAUCCAUCCCCUGAUUUGACCUAGUCUGCUUGAACUUCAUUUCCUUCAGCUCAAGUGUGUCUGUAAUGAACCUUGUGCCUUGAACCAGCUCUGUGCUUUUGCAGCCCUGCGUCUGAACAAAUCUGUAACUGGGUUCCUAAUGUUAAUAUCUAACCACCUGCAGUGACUCUCCUUGCAUCUCACCCCAUCCCUUUGAACUCUGUGCUGCUUUAAUCCUUCCUUCUCCAUUCUGUAACCUAUAUAACUUUGUGUGAAAUGUAAUGAGUGAUCUGCGAGUUAAUAUUAGUAAUAAAGAUUUGGGUAAAAUAUGCUGUUUUUGCCAGUGAUCAUUAAGUAUCAAGUUAAAUCAACAGUACUUGGUGAAUGCCAAUGAAAUCAACAUAGCUUACAAAUUUAUUGUUAUUCAAUAAAUUCUGACAUGUGGAAAGACAAACAUAUACAUGUAUUUUUCUGACAUAGCUCAUGGCAAGUACCAACAUUAGAAUUCCCCAUAGUAAAGCCAGGUUUAGUUACUCCUGGCUACAAAUGCUUUUUUGAGCAGACUAAGGCCUCUGGAAAAUUGAGUCUGUAAGUGCUUCCUAUUACUAAUAAAGCAGACAGGCUAAAUUUCAGUCAUAACUUAAUCCUUUGGAAUGCUCCUUAUUUUCCCCUUUCUUUUGACAUGCUAGCUUAGAACCGCAUCUUCUCUCUGGGAAGAGAAGAAAACAAUGUGGGAUUGUGUUUGUUUCAGAGAAGCAAGUUGGCUAUCUGCCUUACUUUUCAGCUGAUUAUUCCCAUUCCAAAGAUUGUCAUUGGAAUCAAACUGAAAAGCUAGGAUUCAUUUUGCAGAAGAUUGUUCUGAAAGGUAGAUAGGAAACUUGCUGCACCAAGUUUAAAAGCGUUAUUUUAAAUCUCCAACGAGAGAAGCUUAUCGAAAGCCUAAGACAACUCUGAAAGCUCUUCAUGUGAGACAAUAAAUGUAAACUAUUUCUUCCAAAAGAGAUGAAUCAACUGGUAGCUUUUUGUGCUAGCAUGUUGCUACAAUUACAGUAAAAUUUUGCCACAGAAAAUGUCAGGUUAGCUCAGAGCCUAAAUUCUGGCUCCAUUAAUUUGAAUCUCUUUCCUCCAAGAAGACAACACCUAAGAAUAAUAUUGUAAUUGAUGAUUCCUAGAA